AAUUCAGCUAGCUCAUUUGGUAGAGCAGUAGACUCGUAAUCUACAGGUAGAAGGUUCGAUUCCUUCGCGAACUCC
rnacentral:tRNA from 1 species